rnacentral:rRNA from 1 species
CCUACGGGAGGCAGCAGUGGGGAAUCUUGCGCAAUGGGCGAAAGCCUGACGCAGCAACGCCGCGUGCGGGAAGAAGGCUUUCGGGCUGUAAACCGCUUUCAGCAGGAACGAAAAUGACGGUACCUGCAGAAGAAGGAGCGGCCAACUAUGUGCCAGCAGCCGCGGUGAUACAUAGGCUUCAAGCGUUGUCCGGAUUUAUUGGGCGUAAAGAGUUCGUAGGCGGUCGAGUAAGUCGGGUGUGAAAAUUCUGGGCUCAACCCAGAGACGCCACCCGAUACUGCUUGACUUGAGUUCGAUAGGGGAGUGGGGAAUUCCUAGUGUAGCGGUGAAAUGCGCAGAUAUUAGGAGGAACACCGGUGGCGAAGGCGCCACUCUGGAUCGAUACUGACGCUGAGGAACGAAAGCAUGGGUAGCAAACAGGAUUAGAUACCCUGGUAGUCCAUGCCGUAAACGGUGGGCACUAGGUGUGGGUUUCUAUUAACGAAAUCCGCGCCGUUCGCUAACGCAUUAAGUGCCCCGCCUGGGGAGUACGGUCGCAGACUAAACUACAAGAAGUAGACGGCGUGAGACGUGCCGACGGACGACGACGAGGGAGUAGG